AACGAACGCUGGCGGCAGGCUUAACACAUGCAAGUCGAGCGCCCCGCAAGGGGAGCGGCAGACGGGUGAGUAACGCGUGGGAAUCUACCCACCUCUACGGAAUAACGCAUGGAAACGUGUGCUAAUACCGUAUACGUCCUUCGGGAGAACGAUUUAUCGGAGAUGGAUGAGCCCGCGUUGGAUUAGCUAGUUGGUGGGGUAAGGGCCUACCAAGGCGACGAUCCAUAGCUGGUCUGAGAGGAUGAUCAGCCACACUGGGACUGAGACACGGCCCAGACUCCUACGGGAGGCAGCAGUGGGGAAUAUUGGACAAUGGGCGCAAGCCUGAUCCAGCCAUGCCGCGUGAGUGAUGAAGGCCCUAGGGUUGUAAAGCUCUUUCACCGGUGAAGAUAAUGACGGUAACCGGAGAAGAAGCCCCGGCUAACUUCGUGCCAGCCGCCGCCGUAACAC
rnacentral:rRNA from 1 species